CGUGACCACCAGGAGAAAUAGGACCCCCGUUUGCGGCUCUUGAGUGGGGUUUUUGACCGGGUUGGCGAGCCUCUCUACGCCCGGUCGCUGGCUUCCCCCGCCGGCUUCGCUCCAGCCGCCUCGGCCGCCUCCGCCUCCGCGGCGGGCUUCUUUUUGGCUGGACAUUCUCUGGCGAAGUGGUCUCCAUUCCCACAGUACCAGCACAGAUUCAAAUGUUGGCGGCGGGCCUUUUCAGCAACAUCUAGUCUGGGGCGCACAUUGCCCAACUGCAUCGGCACCUCCUCGCUUCCCAUGGGGUUUGGGGCUGGCGGUGGGGUUCUCCAUAUUGGACGGGGCUGAACGCUGGUAGAAGUGGGGGGCUUUACUCCAGCUCUUCCACUCUGGCCUCGGAGCCACUGUUUUUUGUUGGCAAGCAGGACUUCAGCCCGUAAACACUGGUUGAUGAGUCUUUCAAGAGUCCCUGGGGGGUCCACCUUAGAGAUUUCUUCCUGCAUCUCGAUGUUGAGGCCCUCCUGCAUAUGGAGUGUGUCUCGGAUCCUAUUGAAUUCUUCCUGGGAAAUGGUGUAACUGGGUGGUUGAGCUUCCGCUCCGGUUCCUGUAGACAUUCUGGCCUUAGGUUAUUUGGUGCUUAGGGUGGCAGAGUCAAACUGUCAGAACCCUGGCAGCAGAGCACCAAUAACCUUACACAGAGGCCAGUCUCUAUCUAAUAUCUUUAUUAAAGAAAUAUAUAAAAUCAAUAAAAACAAGUGAAGAAUAUAGUUCAGAAGCAGACCUUUCAAAUGAGGUCAAAUAUAGUCCAAAAAUGUAUUGUCCAAUAAAUGAUAUUAGAGUUCAAAGUUUUAAUCCACUUGACCGAAACACACACUUUGCCAAGCAAUAGUGUGGGGAAAUAGCAGAGUCCUAGAGUCCAAUGAAGCUUGACAACAAGGCUGGAAAUAAACUUGAUUCUUGACUAGAUCCGUGACUGGAGACAAGGCAAAACAUGAAGCAUGAAGCAGGGUUCGUGGUAAAACCGCGAGGCAGGGCAAGGCUUGAAGCUUGAUCCGGGAAGCAAGGAACUGGGAUUACGAAGUCCACACACGAUCUCUCUCCUGAAGCUGAUCAAUUGACUCCGCAAAGAAUCCUUCGCGCCAAACACCUAUAUUGGGUCUCGUUUUCCCGCAAACAGAACUCUUUCCCUAGAGAACAAGAAGCGAAACCCAACUCUGUCCAGAUGUGUGACACCUUAGAAUUUCCCAAGGGAAGCAGACCUAAUCAGCCAUUUGUUUGGCAGCGAUGCGUAAACUCCUCCGUUGAGCUUCUCUGACUCCCCUUUCUCUGGAAUAAGAUUCUUUUCUGGGAAACGGAGGGGAGUUCUGCCCAAGGCCUGUUUGGCUGAAUUCUUGAGGGCAAACAUCAACAUCCUGAAGGUGAAGGGACUCCGGCUCUUGCUGAACCGGUGAAAACCCCAUGUUUUCCUCUUCGUCUGCCACAAUAGUACUAGGAACAGGACUACAAGGCCCAUGAGUCCUCACAAUUGUUGAUAGGAAGUGGGCUUAUGUAUUUGGUACUUAGAUAUAGGAAGUGAUCACAUAGGAUUCGUGAGUUCCCUGAGGAUAAUUGACUGGUAUAUUGAUGGCAUUAGAAUGUGAAUGAUGGUGCGUGCAUGUUGGCUGAUAUACAUCUGAGUGGAAAGAGACAGUAGAAACGGUGUGUUAACGUUGGAAGAUUAGAGUGGUCACUAUAGGAAGGUUUUUGAGAAAGUAUUAGGAAUGAGUUGGCAGGAAUCUCCGAGGAAAAAUGAACUUCUUCAAUUAUGUGAUUUGUUGGGGAAAUCGUUCAGUACUGUUUUGUACCAACUGGAGACACUGAACAAGAAAAUUGAUAAUCUUUUCAAGGGAAUUUCCCUGAUUGCGAAAAGUCCUUCUCCUAUAGACACUAUAACAACUGUACCAAUCAGUUCAACUAACAUUAAUGAGAAAUUAAAUGCUCUGGAAGACCAUGGAAGAAUAAAGCUAGAGGAGCAGAAAGUAGUUAAUAGGUCAGAUUUGGAAGUGGCCAGGGAUGGGGCUGGGUUAUUAUCUGGGAAAGAGGGUCAAGGGAGGGUUGCCUGGAAGGAAAUUAAUAGAGUCUCUCAGAGGACAAACAACACUCUGUCCCCAGAACUGUUUGGACAAUUUCGGGAUACUUCCUGCAGCCUGUUGUGAACCAACAAGGUGGCAGUGGAAGUCUCAGACUCUUUACUAAAUAGAGGCAGAUGGACUUCUAAGCGAGCGGUCCAGAUAUCUCUCUCGCAAAUUUUUUCCUUGAGCCGGUCGGAAGUGAAGAUCAAGACCAUUGACUGGCUUCGCAGAGACUAUCAAUCCUGGAACCGCUCCAUAUGUCUUCUCAUUGGGCUGGAGGAUAGAAUGUUGCUGGAAGAAUUGUUUUUAUAUGGGCCUAAACUCCAACAAUGGGGUAUCAUUCUGAAGAGGGUACUAGUAGACCCAUUGAUUCGCCCUCUAGACAUCGGACUGCCUCGCAAAAUACAAGAGUCCCCAACAUCAAGCUAUGUUUGUUCUACCCCCUAGCCCUGCCAUCAGUCAUUAGUUGUGCCUAGCCCCCCUGCCACGUUAGAUGAUGUUAUCAUAUUAGAUGACUCCUCUUCUCUCACACCAGCGGAGAUAAGCCUCUCUUUUAAACAAUCAAGUACACUUGGAGGCCUUUCCUCCCAGGACAGCUGACUAUCCCCCUCAAAUGGCAAUCUCAAUCAACCAAUCUCUCAGGAGGAACAGGGUUCUCACGGGUGGGGCCCCAUUGAGGUGGUGUGGGGGAGAAGGAAGAACGGUCACCAAUGACCCAGGGAGAAGCGCAACAGAGUUAUUGCGACCCUGGAGAGGAAUAGGUGUGGUAGUCUUCAGGACAGACCCCUCAGCCUUAAGGUCCUGCUUCUGAAUGCCAGAUCCGUCAAUGGUAAGACAGCUAUCAUCCAGGAUUUAAUCCUGGAUGAGGGGGCGGAUCUGGCAUGUAUUACCGAGACAUGGUUGGAUGAACUGGGUGGGGUAAAUCUCACCCAGCUGUGUCCACCGGGUUUCGGGGUUCAUCAGCAGGCCAGGGUUGAGGGGCGGGGAGGAGGAGUCGCGGUGAUCUUCCGGCAGUCCAUCGCCCUGAUCAGGUGCACCGUUCCGCAAUCUACGAGGUUUGAAUGUGUUCUGCUGAAGGUGGGAGCCCGAGACAGCUUGGGGAUUCUGUUGGUGUACCGUCCACCCCGCGACCCAGCAGUCUCCCUGUCUGAGCUAGCAGAAGUGGUUUCUAAUGUGGCCUUGGUCUCCCAACAACUUAUUGUUUUGGGAGACUUUAACAUCCAUGCCGAGACCACAUUAACAGGUGCAGCUCAGGAUUUCAUGGUUGCCAUGACGACCAUGGGGCUGACUCAAGUUAUAUCUAGGCCCACACAUCAGGCGGGACACACGUUGGACCUUGUCUUCAUUGUGGACGGUGGGACAGUCAGAGUGGAAGAACAAAAUAUCCUUCCAUUGUCAUGGUCUGACCAUCAUCUGAUCUGUCUAAGUUUCGCCGUGUCUUCUAACCUCCGCAGGGGUGGUGGUCCCACUAAGAUGGUCCGCCCCAGGAGACUGAUGGAUCCAGAUGGACUCCUGAGGUCUCUUGGGGAUCUUCCUGUUCUGGAGACUGGCGACCCUGUUGAUGUCCUGGCUGAUCGCUAUAAUAGUGAGCUGGCAAGGGCAUUGGACACGAUCGCUCCCGAAUGUCCCCUCUCGCUGCGUAGAGUCACGUCUACUCCUUGGUUCACUGAGGAGCUGGCCGUGAUGAAGCGUGCGAGGAGGGGACUAGAGUGCAUCUGGAGGAAAUCUCAGGAUGUGUCCGACCAAGCACGGGCUAAAGCCGCUAUUAAGGCUUACUCCGUGGCUCUGCGGGCAGCCAGGAAAGCUUUCAUGACUGCCCGCAUAGCGUCUGCGGCCAAUAGGCCAUCGGAGUUGUUCCGGGUUGUUGGGGAGAUCCUGCGGCCCCCUGAGACCCAGGAGCUUCCCGAUGACUUGGCAACUCGGUGCAGCGAGUUCGCACACCAUUUCGCAGGCAAAGUUGCUCGGAUACGUCGUGAGUUGGACUUCAGCUUAACUGUGGUUUCAGCGGAGGUAACCGAGGCACCUGUCGGUUCGAUCUUAUGGGAUUCUUUCCGGCUUGUUCUUCCUGAUGACGUGGAGGGGAUUCUUGGGUCUGUGAGGGUGUCCACUUGCGCUCUGGAUCCUUGUCCUUCUUGGCUGGUUAAACUGGCCAAAGAUGGGUUGUUGGAGUGGUUUGUGGCUAUAAUAAAUGCCUCCUUGGGUCAGGGGUCAUUUCCAUCCUGUUUUAAACAAGCGGUGGUAAAACCACUACUAAAAAAAACCUCGUUAGACCCAUUGGUUUGUGACAAUUACAGACCAAUCUCCAACCUCCCAUUCUUGGGCAAGGUGCUGGAGCGGGUGGUUGCCACGCAGCUCCAGGGGUUUCUCGAUGACACCGAUUUUCUGGACUGCUCGCAGUCUGGCUUCAGGCCUGGGCACAGCACCGAGACGGCUCUGGUCGCCUUGGUGGAUGACCUCUGCAGGGAGCUGGACAGGGGGAGUGUGACCCUGCUGGUUCUCCUGGAUAUCUCAGCGGCUUUCGAUACCAUCGACCAUGGUAUCCUUCUGGGGAGGCUCUCUGUGAUGGGGCUCGGUGGCACAGUUUUGCAGUGGCUCCAGUCCUUCCUGGAGGGCCGUUCCCAGAUGGUGAAGCUGGGGGACACCUGCUCGGACCCCUGGCCAUUGACCUGUGGGGUUCCGCAGGGGUCUAUCUUAUCCCCCAUGCUAUUUAACAUCUACAUGAAACCGCUGGGAGAGGUCAUCCGGAGUUUUGGAGGGCGUUGCCAUCUCUACGCAGAUGACACGCAAAUCCACUACAAAUUUCCAUCUGAUUCCAAGGAAGCCCCUCGGAUGCUGAACCAGUGCCUGGCCGCUGUGGCGGACUGGAUGAGGAGGAACAAGCUGAGAAUCAAUCCCGACAAGACAGAGGCCCUCCUGGUCAGUCGUGCGGCAGAUCGGGGUAUUGGGUGGCAACCUGUGCUGGACGGGGUUGCACUCCCCCUGAAAUCACAGGUCCGCAGUUUGGGGGUCCUCCUGGAUUCAGCGCUGACGCUUGAAGCACAGGUGUCGGCGGUGGCCGGGAGGGCCUUUGCACAACUCAAACUUGUGCGCCAACUGCGACCAUACCUCGUGAAGUCUGACUUGACCACGGUGGUCCACCCCUUAGUUACCUCUAGACUGGACUACUGUAAUGCACUCUACGUGAGGCUUCCCUUGAAGACGGCCCGGAAAUUACAAUUGGUCCAACGCUCGGCUGCCAGAUUAAUAACAGGGGCAAAUUACAGGGUGAGAUCCACUCCCUUGUUUAAGGAGCUCCACUGGCUGCUGUUCAUCUUCCGGUCCCAAUUCAAGGUGCAGACCAUCAUCUAUAAAGUCCUAAACGGUUUGGGACCCACCUACCUCCGUGACCGUAUCUCCUUCCAUAAACCUGCCCGUUCUUUGCGAUCAUCCGGGGAGGCCCUGUUAUCACCAUUGCCUAUAUCCCAGGCCCGCCUUGUAAGUACAAGGGAGAGGGCCUUUUCUGCUGUGGCCCCCCGACUGUGGAACUCACUACAUACUGAAAUUAGGCAAGCUCCCACUCUGUUAGCUUUUAGGAAAGAAUUGAAAACAUGGCUCUUCCGCUGUGCUUUCGGUGAGUAAUUUCUGUUAUAGAUCUCCAUAUUACUCCCCUCCGAACAUCUAUCCUCUAGAUUACCCCUUCCAAAUGUCCCUGCCCAUAGUGGAGUACUCCUCUGUCCCUCUCACUCCGGGUUUUAUCUCUGUGUUCACGCGGCCUGCCCUUGCUUUAUUGUUUUUUUGAUUUCUUGAUGUUCUGUUUAUUAUUAUUUAUUGUAUUUUGAAUGGUGCUAUGAUAUGUUGUUUUUAUAUCUUAUUAUGUUGUAUUGCUCUGGGCAUGGCCCCAUGUUAGCCGCCCCGAGUCCCCAUUGGGGAGAUGGUGGCGGGGUAUAAAUAAAGUUUUAUUAUUAUUAUUAUUAUUAUUGUUCUCCAGACCCUUGAUCAUUUUAGUCGCCCUCCUCUGGACGCUUUCCAGCUUGUCAACAUCUCCCUUCAACUGCGGAGCCCAGAAUUGGACACAGUGUGAUUCCAGGUGUGGUCUGACCAAGGCCGUAGCCAUAAAAAUUUUUUGGGUGUGUGUGUGAAAACUUUGGGGUGGCAGAUGGGGUUUGAACCCCUAACCCCCCCCCCUUUCCGGCUACAGCCCUGUCAAUAUCUGCUUCAGAUAGUGCCUGGAGGGACUCUUAAUUUUUUUUUUGUCUCCUAGACUAUAGCAUGGGGAUUUGGUUAACCAAUUAAAAUUCAUGAGUAAACCAUUUUUUUAAAAAAAAAUUUGGGGGGGGGGGGUUGAACCCCUAACUCCCCCCCCCCCCUCCGGCUACAGGCCUGGGUCUGACCAAGGAAGAAUAGAGGGGUAGCAUUGUGACCAAAAUAUGCAUAUAUGAUAUGUGGUAUGAAUGGAAGAAUGAGUGAGUUAGUACAUUUGAAGACACCAGUCUGUAGACUAAUGCUGCAAACCAUUAACUCCCUGCUCAGGAAUUGUAAUUAAAACCUGCUAAUGAGACCUGAAAGAGUUGACCUGCCUGGCAAACUGUGAUAAGAACUGCGACUGAUAAGAGAAAUGUUUACAUCUGUUAACAUCUGUCAACAUUUGCUGACUUGAUGAACUUUUGGGGCAGAGCUGCUUGUGUUUGCUAACACCAAUCAAGAGGAAUCAACAUCUGGUCCAGGAAACUGAGGAUAUUCCAGGAUGGAAGACGCCUAUCAUUCAUUUGCAACUUUGGGACAACAUCAUCAGCAAAAUAUUGCUAUAUAAGUGACCUUAUGACAGUCCAGUAGGUGUGACAGACAGCGACGCUGUUCACCUGCCAUGCUCAGUGGAGAUGGUGUACUUGGGAGUGGCAGAUCUGCUAUGGGAAAGCAGGAUUCUGUUCACUGUUUGGGGCCUCCUUUUCUCAGGGAAAGAGGAAGGAGUGCAUUUUGAAGUCAUGGUAUUUUUGAAGUUUUGGCGUUUUGGCGAUUUGGAACUAUGUCUUGGCAGGCAGCAGUGGAAGCUGGGUCUGGCCUAAGCAGGUGUUUCUCCAAGGAGGGAGACAGGAUAUGGUAAUAUUUGAGUGCAUGAAGAUGGAUGCAUGUUGUAUGUGAAUGAAGAAUGAAAAUGUAACCCCCCCUUUUGUUUCUUAGCCAAUGUAACUGUAGGUUGUUUGUGAAUCCAAUGUAGUUGCAUAGAAUCUGUAUGUUUGUAUGUCUAAAUGUUGUUCUUUGUUGUUCUAUAAAAGUUCUGCUAUACCUCUCAGACUGAAACUGCAAUAAAAAGAACCUAUGCUUUAAAGUUAUUGAAAAAUUAUUCAUAACAUUUUUGGUGUCAGAAGUGGGAUAUUCUGUUUAGUCUGAGCAGGAUGUUUUAACUUUUGUUUUAAAAGUCUUCAUGACAGCAUGACUUCCCUGGAUCUAGACACUAUACUCCUAUUGAUGCAGGCCAAAAUCCCAUUGGCUUUUUUUGCCGCCACAUAACAUUGUAGGCUCAUGUUUAACUUGUUGUCCACGAGGACUCCAAGAUCCUUUUUACACGUACUGCUGUUGAGCCAGGCGUCCCCCAUUCUGUAUCUUUGCAUUUCAUUUUUUCUGCCUAAGUGGAAUCUCUUGCAUUUGUCCCUGUUGAACUUCAUUUUGUUAGUUUCAACCCAUCUCUCUAUCUGUUAAGAUGGUUUUGGAUUCUGCCCCUGUCUUCUGGAGUAUUGGCUACCCCUCCCAAUUUGGUGUCAUCUGCACACUUGAUGAUCAUGCCUUCUAACCCUUCAUCUAAGUCAUUAAUAAAGAUGUUGAACAGAACCAGGCCCAGGAUGGAACCCUGUGGCACUCCACUCAAGACUUCUUUCCAGGAUGAAGAAGACGCAUUGGAUAUGCUGCCAGAGAAAAACAAAGCCUGGGGCUAUGGAUUCCAUACUUGACCGGUUAAGUUGGACAAGCAGCCAGCAGCAUCACAAUUGAACAGAAGCCUUUGUAGUAAUAUUAUCUACAAGGAUGGUAUUAGAAUGAAAAUGUUUAUUGCCAUAGGAAAGACAAUGUCAUUAAUUACCAAAGUGAACAUCACUAGUAUUUUCAUCUUCUGCUAGAGUUUCUUCCUACAGUUAUUAUAGAAUUUCCAUGCCAGACUCGGAUGUUGGAUAUGUUUAGCUUGCUUCUGAAGCAGUUUUAGCAUAUUUCAAGAGGUCUAGCUGGUUUUGCAGUGUUACCACUCAGAGGUUUAUCCAUGCUCAUGUUUAUUUGCAUUUAUUUUGUUCUCACAAGCAAGAAUGAAAAACUUUAAAUCUCCUUAUGCCCAUGGGUUUCCUUGGAGUAAUGGUCCCACUUAGCAUAAAAGGAGCCUUGAAAUGGAACUGGAGGAAUCACCACUAUACAGGCCCGUAGCCAGGAUUUUGGUUCGGGAGGGGCUGGGAUUUUGGUUCAGGGGGGGGGGGGGGCUGAGUCUGAGUGAGAGAGGAUUUGCCCUAGCAAACCUUUUGUAUCGUUAUCCCAAUGCCUCCAAGCAUAUGGGAUAUAUUGAGCAUGGUGAUCAGAUCAUGAUAUGAAUAAGCAUAACAGUUUAAAUAAUAAAUAUAAGGCCUUCUCUCUCUCUCUCUCCCCCCCCCCCCCCCCGGCUACAUGCCUGCCACUGUAGGACUCCAGCAAGGUCAAGAAAAUCUGCAAGGCCAAACAUUUCUUGAGCAAAUGUUUCAGUAUAUCAUGGCUCUUUAAUGAGAAAGCAUUAGAAAAAUAAACACAAAGAAAUGAAAAUAACAAUGGUUUCCCACCAGAAAGGGAAAACAUAGUCAUAUAGAUGUUGCUUAAUAGUAUUUCUCAUUAGACCUAGCAACAGUAGUAAAUGGUAAAGAUUGAUUAAAGUUAUAGGUCAACAAUAUCUAGAGCAGUGGUUCUCAAUCUGUGGGUCCCCAGAUGUUUUCGCCUUCAGCUCCCAGAAAUCCUAACAGCUGGUAACCUGGCUGGGAUUUCUGGGAGUUGUAGGCCAAAACACCUGGGGACUCACAUGUUGAAAAUGACUGAUCUAGAGAAUCACAGAUCUCAGACCCUGGAUGUUUCAAAAAUAUAGCUUUUGAAACUUUGUAAUGUCCAACAUGCUGAUCAUGGAGCUGCUGCAGAUUUCUUCCAAGUGUUGGUCUUAAUGACGGAAUAUAUUUAGAGCUGUGCCCUGUAGGUUCUGUUAUUGAGGUUUUACACUCCAUGAGAGAAGAAGGAGAUGACCCUGUAUCGUUCAAGCCAUGGUUCAUUGAGGCCAAAGCCAACCAAACAUAGUCAGCAAAAGAAGAAAAUAAAUAUCAAUAGAUUUUUUUUUAUAAAAAAAUCACCAUUCAAGCCACUAACUUCCAUAUUCCUACUAGAGGUAGUUUACGACUUGUAUUUGGUCCAACUGACCAAUUUGUACAACUCAAAGCAAUGUAUUAAAGGAAAUAAAUUUGUGUAGAUUUUA